CCUACGGGUGGCAGCAGUAGGGAAUAUUGCACAAUGGGGGAAACCCUUAUGCAGCAACGCCGCGUGGGGGAUGAAGGUUUUCGGAUUGUAAACUUCUGUCGUUGGGGAAGAUAAUGACGGUAUCUAAGGAAUAAGCCCCGGCUAACUCCGUGCCAGCAGCCGCGGUAAUACGGAGGGGGCAAGCGUUGCCCGGAAUUACUGGGCGUAAAGGGCGCGUAGGCGGGAUGGCAAGUCAGAUGUGAAAUUCUAGGGCUUAACUCUUGAACUGCUUUUGAAACUGUUAUUCUAGAGUAUGGUAGAGGUAGGCGGAAUUCCUGGUGUAGGGGUAAAAUCCGUAGAGAUAUAGAAGAAUACUCGUGGCGAAGGCGACUCGCUAGAACGUAACUGACGCUGAUGUGCGAAAGCGUGGGGAGCAAACAGGAUUAGAUACCCGGGUAGUC
rnacentral:rRNA from 1 species